rnacentral:rRNA from 1 species
GACGAACGCUGGCGGCGUGCCUAAUACAUGCAAGUUGAGCGCUGAAGGUUGGUACUUGUACCAACUGGAUGAGCAGCGAACGGGUGAGUAACGCGUGGGGAAUCUGCCUUUGAGCGGGGGACAACAUUUGGAAACGAAUGCUAAUACCGCAUAAAAACUUUAAACACAAGUUUUAAGUUUGAAAGAUGCAAUUGCAUCACUCAAAGAUGAUCCCGCGUUGUAUUAGCUAGUUGGUGAGGUAAAGGCUCACCAAGGCGAUGAUACAUAGCCGACCUGAGAGGGUGAUCGGCCACAAUGGGACUGGGACACGGCCCAAGCUCCUACGGGAGGCAGCAGUAGGGGAUCUUCGGCAAUGGACGGAAGUCUGACCGAGCAACGCCGCGGGAGGGAAGAAGGUUUUCGGAUCGUAAAACUCUGUUGGUAGAGAAGAACGUUGGUGAGAGUGGAAAGCUCAUCAAGUGACGGUAACUACACAGAAAGGGACGGCUAACUACGUG